AGAAGGCCAGAAGGAGUUGCAUUGCGUCUUUGUGGACAUGAAGAAAGCAGAUGACAGGGUGAGGAGACAGGAGCUGUGGUAUUGUAUGAGGAAGUCAGGAGUGGCAGAGAAGUACAUAAGAGUUGUACAGGAUAUGUACGAGGGAAGUGUGACAGUGGUGAGGUCUGCAGUAGGAGUGACGGAGGUGAGAUUACAUCAGGGAUCGGCUCUGAGCCCUUUCUUAUUUGCAAUGGUGAUGGACAGGUUGACAGACGAGAUUAGACAGGAGUCCCCAUGGACUGUGAUGUUUGCUGAUGACAUUGUGAUCUGUAGCGAGAGUAGGGAGCAGGUUGAGGAGACCCUGGAGAGGUGGAGAUCUGCUCUAGAGAGGAGAGGAGUGAAGGUCAGUAGGAACAAGAGAGAAUACAUGUGUGUGAAUGAGAGGAAGGUCAGAGGAAUGGUGAGGAUGAAGGGAGUAGAGUUAGCAAAGGUGGAUGAGUUUAAAUAUUUGGGAUCAACAGUACAGAGUAAUGGUAGGUGUGGAAGAGAAGUGAAGAAGAGAGUGCAGGCAGGGUGGAAAGGGUGGAGAAGAGUUUCAGGUGAGAUUUGUGACAGACGGGUAUCAGCGAGAGUGAAAGGGAAGGUCUACAGGACGGUAGUGAGACCAGCUAUGUUAUAUGGGCUGGAGAUGAUGGCACUGACCAGAAAGCAGGAGACAGAGCUGGAGGUGGCAGAGUUAAAGAUAAUAAGAUUUGCACUGGGUGUGACGAGGAUGGAUAGGAUUAGAAAUAAGGACAUUAGGGGUCAGCUCAGGUUGUACAGUUUGGAGACAAAGUCAGAGAGGCGAGAUUGCAUUGGUUUGGACAUGUGCAGAGGAGAGAUGCUGAGUAUAUUGGAAGAAGGGUGCUAAGGAUAGAGCUGCCAGACAAAAGGAAAAGAGGAAGGCCUAAGAGAAGGUUUAUGGAUGUGGAGAGAGGGGACAUGCAGGUGAUGGGUGUGACAGAGCAAGAUGACGAGGACAGGAAGAGAUGGAAAAAGAUGAUCCGCUGUGGCAACCCCUAAUGGGAG